GCCUACAGCCAUGCCAUCCUAAACAUGCCUGAUCUCAGAAGCUAAGCAGGGUCGGGCCUGGUUAGUACUUGGAUGAGAGAUAAUGUAAAGCACUUUCCAAAAUGUUGUUACCA
rnacentral:rRNA from 1 species